CAAGGAUUCGUGUCAUUGUCAGUGGGUAAUCAGGUCAGUGGGCCAGUGGGACGACCACUUUCAAUUUCAGUCCUUCUAGCUGUGCAACUCGCCGUGCCGCGCGUCGCGCGUUAUCUCGCGCUCUCGCUCUCCAUCUCGCUCUUUCUCCCCGCGGCCGCGAUACGUUCGACUCUUUUGCCUCGCGAUGUUCACGCGACUCUAUCCGUCGUCCGUGUCGUUUCUGUGCUGUUUGUUAAUAUCGCGGUACAUACAUACGUACUCGUAGCUCGUGGUUCCUCUCGAGGGCGUCGUGGUUACUGGUAGAGGGAGGCAAAGAGGGUGUGUAGUGGAGGGAGGGGGGAGGGGGGGAAGUACAGGCGCGAAGUCGUAAACGUGGCAGAAGUAUGAGUCGCGAGAAAAAGAAGGAGGAUGCGAGAGGGGAGAGGGGGAAGUCCUGACACGCGCCAAUCACAUCAUGCUUCUUCGGUUGCAAACGUGUACCGAGCAGUACGCGGUUUAACAGAAAGAAGCGAGAGAGAGUGAUAGGGAGAGUGACAGGGUGGCGGCAUGCGGGACAAAGGGCGAGGGGAAGGAUGAUGCACGCGCGAUCGCGCUAGCUCGCUCGCCCGACGGCGCUCGCUCGUUCUCUCGCACGGACGCCGGGAAAGAUAGCAGAAAGUAGGACGCGUAUUAAAAACCACAGACCGUGUCCCGUGGCGUCACUUCUCGUGCCUCGCCGCGGCGCGUCGGUAUUACCCAAUCGAAUUCAUCAUAACUGGCACGAGAAACGUACGAACGAGCAAAUGAACGAACGAAUCGACGGACAUAUGGAGACAUGGACGAGUUGUCGAAUUGAAAAAGAGAAAGGGAGGGGGAGAACUAUACGACGUAUAAAAGAGAGAGGCAAUUUCGGUGAUAAGCGCGAUCAGCGCCAAGGCGCGGUGAUCGACGGAAACACGGACGCCCAGUAUCUUACGAUCUAUGAUAAGACUUUCGAUUUCGAUGCGUCGAUCGCGAGAUCCGUGCAACGCCACAGCCAAGCGCUACGGUGAAUCGUGUUUUCUUACUUUCAGUGUUUAGCCGAGGAGAAGAAACCAGUCACUUCCUCUCAUUAUUGCAUUCCCAAACGAAAUUUUUGCACGCACAAGUUCCAGAGAAAUAUUAGCCGAGUGCUAAAUUUAGCGACUGAUCGAAACGAGACCAACGCCGUGGUGCGGCGAUCGCGGGAAUUAUAAAAGGUGCGAGCGCGCCUCUUCCGCUCGAAUCAAUGAUCCUUAAUUACGUUUGAAAAUUAAGCUGACGCCAAAGUAUCGCGCAACGAGUAAAUGAAUUUUCCUAAAGAAUUAGGUCAUGCCCUUGAAGGGUUAUUCGUGAAAGCUUAAGGAAUGUCGGCGUCGAUUAUACACGCUUCAUCGACUAUUAUUUGACGACGUUCAAAGUAAGUACGAUCUGAUCUUCCGAUAUAAAUCCACCAAAAUUUCAUCUUUUCGGCAUGAACAAAUUUACACCGGACAAGAUCGAACCUGUGACCUAAGAGAUCGAUCGAAGAAACGCAGAAUGUUGUCGUUUGCGUACCAAACGCUCGUAAAUUUACCAAACUAUAUCGAUAGAGGUAAACAGAGGUUACAAAGAUGGUUCCCUUCUCUUAAAACUAUUACACCAGCCUAUUCAACGCGCAUGGCUGAAUAAAUCGAACGUUUCCGCGAUGCUAAACAUUUUAACACCCCGGCUACUUUGAAUGUCGCGCGCAUGCGCCCAGUAGUACGGAUAGCAAUUCUUAUAUGCGAUCCUUUGGGCAAGCUUUUAGAUGUUGAUACCAUUGGGAGGGCGCCACAAGUUAGGAGAAGCAAUUUGGCGAUGCGAGAUAUGUACACGUAUAUGGUCUACUUUUCGAAGUCGGGCCGCGUAGACGCGACUCGAGCGCGCAUUCAAAUACGUCUUGCUUUGCAUUUGCAAGUACAAUGAAAUUAUGCAAGCGUGUUAUAUUGCAAUUAUAUGUACUCGCAAUAAAUCGGUAAUAACGGAAUAAUAGCCGUUACUAAUACACCGGGAAUGCGAGCUGGGAUAUUUCCAACGGCAUACAUUUAGUAACGGUGAUCAUAACACGGAGACUUACGAUCCAAUAAUACAAUUUGUAAUACGGUACUACAGAAAAAAAUUGUUUUUACAAUUACUUUAAAAAAAGACACAUUAGGAAUAAAUCUGUUAUACUUAUUACAUAUACAGAAAUAAUUCCGUUAUACUUGGAUUGCGAACGUUUAUGCAAUUUUAUUUUAUUAUAGAAAAUUUUAAUCUACAAUAACAUAACGUAAUACAGACGAUAUACAUAACAUAAGAAUGAACACGAUACGAAAGAAUAUAUGCAAAAUGAUACACCUGUCGUAAUAUUUAAAGACCAAACCUAAUUUCUCUUUACAAUGUAUGCUUGACUGUUGUGUCUAUAAAAACUUCAAUGUACAUAAACAUUUACAGUCUAGUUAUAAAUAUUUCAAGUCUUGCCGGUGAAUUAUGUAAUUCCAUACGAUUAAAAGUAAUAGACACACUUUAAUGAGAUGAGCAGCAUAGCUGAAACUUAUUUGUAAAACCAAUGGCACCGGAAUUCGAUCGUACCAUAAUUACGAUACAAGAGGGUUAAAGGUGACGUGGACACGAGGGAUGAAGGUUCGGCACCGAUAAAUUCGCCAACGUAUCUAUACCGGUGCUGUAGCCCGCUGGGGACGUUGAAUAAUAAUUAUUGUUGUUGGCUCGGCUUGGGUGUUAUUGAGUUAUUCCAAUGCGAGUUUAUCAAAGUGGGUCAAGCGAUUCAAUAGCGACCGCCGUGGAGGAGAAACGACCCAUCGUCUUAACGUGGCGUGGGAGUGUACGUAUAGCAGUAGAAUAACGUGCACACGAUCAAACACACACCGGCAAACGCUACCGAAUUGGUACACGUAUAAAAAGUGACGAACAACCAGACCGUAAAAUCGGCACCACUAUUACGAGGAACAAUUACAACGAUGAUGUCUCGUUUCUUUAUAUUAUUCGAGGAAAAUUGGUGGAAAAAAUUGAGUUUUAUUUGAAAAGGAAGAAAAUACUUUGUUCCUGAAUAAACGCGAUCUCUUAUUUUUUUUUCCAUAAACACGAUCAAUUUACUCGGAAAAAACAGGAACGCAGGAGAAACAGAAUUCGUGAAACGUAAAAUCGUUAUCUAAUUGAAAUCGUGGAAAAAACAAAUGUUGAUUCGGAGCUUGGUGCGAGUUAUAAUCCCAGUAACGAUUCCGUAGUCGAGAAAGAGAGAGAGAGAGACAGUCUAAUUAUCCGGCUUUCCAUUAGCAACAGGUAGAACGACGGACGAGCCAUAAAUUCCUGUAGGAAAGCGAGGAAAUCGGAUUUUCUUCACUCUUGGUGAGAGUUGGGACAACACUGUCGAUUGUUGCAUAAUAGGAACAACGAGGAUAAGAGGCGUGUGUCCUCGGUCAGACUGGCAAUAAACAAACAAGGAAUAUUUGACUGAGAUGUCACGGGUAAAUAAGUAAACUGACGACAAGUAAAAAUACGACCCAUGGAGAGAACCAAAGUCACGAGUCACGAGAGAACCGAAGAAAGUGAAGAAGGUCGCGUGUCUAUAUUGGAGGAUCGCUUUCGAAGUCACCGGAUGAUAUUGUUAAAAAAAAGCGAAGAAUUAUUAAGGAAGUUUGCCAUCAUUCACGCUACGCGUGUGAUUUACAUGUUAUUUAACCUUCCGUAAGCAAACUGGGUUAGUUAUGCCCGAAUGUUUUUUUACUAUUAUUUAUUAUUAUAUUAUUACAUUAUUAUUUCACUCUUGCGAAUUAUUUUACUGUUUCCGACUUGGAAAAGAUCCUGAAGCUAUCCUGAAAUAGUUAUCAAUGUUUUUACUACGCCAAAUGUUUGAAAUAUUCCUCAAUAAAAAUAGACAUUCUUUUUGGAGAAAUUGUAGAAUGAAAUUUAAAUUAGAUCCUCAGCUACUCGGUUUGCCUACGAAAUAUUAAAUGUACUAAGAAUACGGAUAUGGAAAAUGAGACUUCCGGGAAAAUAACUGCUUGCAAGGUAUCAGAGGAUUAUAUUAUUCCUUCCAAAACCGUAUGGUAUCGAAUCGUCGCAGAUUCGAAUAUGUCUACUAAGCAUACUUUCACGCUAAUCAACCACUUUAGAUAUGGUUAGUUUCAAUGUAGUUACAGGUCUUAAUUCAACAAGAAUCAAUUGUACAUAAUCACUUGAAGUAACCACGUAGAAAAGAUUGUAUUACGAAAUGUCUUGUACAGAAGUUCUAUAUGCCUCGAAACGCAUGCACGAUGCGCUCGCAAAAAGGGUAGUACCUAAAGAAUAUGUAAAGCAGGUUAAACGAUGUAUCGGAGACACAGCCUUGAAUAUUCAUGAAUACUGAACAACUUUUUUGGAAUGGUAUCACAUUUAAAUUCCACUCGUCCUCUGGUACCGCGUUCUGCGCUCUAUUUGUAAGCAUGCACUUUGCACUUUGCUUAACACACGCGUUUCCUAUUGUCGUUACGAUGAUCAAAAAUCAUUUCCUAUCAUUUUCCAAGAGGAACAAUAUCUGGCGUAAAAAAAAAAAAAGGGACCAAGGGUAAAACUUGCACCUGUACCCUGUAGGUCUAUUUUGUGCUCCUUACUGUGCGGAUAAUCGUGAUUUAUUGUGUGCAAACAGCGGACUCAGCCUCUAGCGGAGAUGUAACAAGUGAAUUUCGACGCAGCAGGUAGAUGUUGACGUGGUCUAUUGUCCGGAAGGGUAUAUACAUCGUUGAAAGAACCGACCCCAUCCACUUUACAAGGGAUUGCGACGAAUUCGUGCCGGCCACGCGCCGCCACGCUUACGAAAAUUUGAGAAAGCUGCAAUACCUUUUUCCGCAACAAUUUUACUGCUCGGAACGGUACAGAGUAGAAGUAAAAGUGUCAGUCAACUUUACGGGACUGAUACUUUACCUCUGCCUAACAAGGGCAAGAGGACAUCCACGACAAUGGUCAAUGUUACCUGUAAUAUUUCUUCGAAGGAGGUACUCUAUUUGAAGUGAAAUACCAUCAUUAUAAAAUUACGAAAAUUGUCUCCUUGAUUCUACGGCGAUAGAACGAUACUGGUAAGGUCGUUUUUGAUGAGGUGGAGGAAGGAAAAAUACGAAAAAAUUAUGUAGUCAUAUUUUCUUACACUGUCACUGCAAAGUAUUUGGCCAUUUUAUCUUUAAAGCUUAGCUAAGUAAAGGUAUCUGAAGGCUUAUUUUCCACGUAAUUUAGUUAGAAGAAAUUACAAAUAAAACUUACGUAUUCAUAAAUAAUGUCUACAUUCCGUGGGUAUUAUUAUUUUAUCAUCACUAUAUAUAAGGUUACCUUUAUAUAACCAAUAUUAGUUACGCGUAUUAAUACAUAUGCAAUGAAAUGUUGGCAUCCACGAGAAUAAACGUAACCCUAACCAAGUUAUGACACAAUUUUUGAACAAAAUUUACGAAACAUCUGAAGCUAUUUAUCCCCGGACUAUCUUCAAGUUUCUAAAAUACAGAUCAGAUAGAUUCUUGUAAACUUGUAUCAUAUUCGAUUCAAGCAAUAACGUUUCAAACUAAUAGAUACAUGGAUGAAUUUCGCGUUUGAAAUUUUAAUACAUUUUCGAUCGAUCUUUAAACAAUUAAUAAAAUGUAUUAUUUGUUGAUUCGCUAAGAAGAUAAAUCCUUUAGAAUGUCGGGAAACUAUAGAAAAUUUGAGAGUGGCGAAACGCAAAUAAUACGCAUAAUUCACAAGGCUACACAAAAUGCUCGAAAUAUUCGUAUACGUCUAAUUAUAAUAUCUAGCGCUAGAAAUAAAUGAAUUUGUUUAAGCCUUAUCUCCUCAGUGGCAUUCAGAAAAAUGUAAAUUCGCGUAAACAACCACAGUCUGUUCGUAGGUGAUAGCGUAGGUUAAAUCGCAAGAUCAUUUUCAUUUUCGUUGAAAUCAACUCCACUCUCGGCUGUUUGUCCGAUUUUAGAACUCUCUUUUAACGAAGCAAAGGGUCGAGAUGAGUCUGUUUAUAGAGAGAGAAAUUUCGAGCGUUCGUGUCCCCUUUGGGUUUGUCUGGUUCGCGAAGCGUGUCGCCGGGGUCCGGAUGAAAGUAAAAGUAAAAGUACCGAGAACGGGCGCCAAAGUAUACUUGCACGUGUGUACCGCGAUCUGGUCGCGUGAAACGCGACCGUCCAAGGAGGACGCGGCUCGCCACCCGUUUUUCCGACCUUUGAAAUCGUACAAACGCAUUUCUAGAAUGGCACUACGACGUUCGCCGGGUGCUUUCACCAGUGUCGAUGCGUCGUGAGCUCUCUGACGUAACCAGUUUCACUGGAACGCGUCUCUCCCAUAACACAGACCUAAUUUUUAAUCGACGUCAACCUGUUUCGAAGCGACUACACGAUGCAGCUCUCCAAGGUGACGAUUAAGCAAUUACCAAAAUUAAGGCUUCCGGAUGCAAGUUGUUCGUAUUCUAAUUUUUUCUAAAUACUACUACAUAUAUAUAGAGUAUUUGUUGCGUUUUUCUCGCAAACAGUACAUUUAUGAACAAAGCUUUACUAUCUUUUGUACAAUAGUUCGAAUAGAUCUUUCAUUUUUCCUCGCUUGCGCGUAUUAAAGAAAUUAUGAAUGUUCUUAAAUUGCUAACGAACCCUUUUACACUGCAUCGUGAAUGUAAAUAUGAAUUUAAUAUUUUUCUUACAGAUCUAUCAUUUACGAGGAAAAUGGCGAAGGCUGAGGCCGGGUGCAGACGAGCGGCUUUUUGACGUUGCAUUUUCGCUGCUUCGUAUGCCUGUCCUCGUUGUGUUCAACUGGGAAAACAAAGACAGACAUAUGACGCAGCGAGAACGCAGCACGAAAAAGUCGCCUGUCUGCACCGGGCCUAAUACCAUGAACUUCUAUAUAUUUAAUUCGAUAAUAAUUUCCAUCUCUGACGAAACUGAAACUUUCAGAAUAUUUCUUCGAAAGGGGCAUGAAACAAGAGUCACAAUUUUAAAGAUCGUACGAUAAUUGACUAUGAAUGCUAUAAAACUCUAUAUAAAGAAGGCGAUGAAUUUUACAAUAGGAAAAGAACGCGUGAAAAUCGAAAGGAAAAACGCUAUCGAAUCUUUGCAGCCGAGUCGGAAAGAUAUUUCCGGUUGAUAAUUCCAUAUCAUUUCCUAUGUUAUCUGGUGCACCGCUAAUUUUACAAGUAUAUCGCUCGCGAGUUAUAGCAGAUUGUGUAACUUUUUAAUAUCAGGAAAAAGAGAGAAAAUAGAUGUUAUAUAUAUCUUUCUGUCUUACUUAACGAACACUCCAUGAAAUCCAUUCGAAACAGAGCUAACUAGUCACAGAUCGAGUGUACGAAAUGAGAAAUAAAGAUCGUAAUUCGUAUUUUAAUAUUACGAAAGUUUCUUAAAAAUUUAUUACGACGACUAUACAUAUCCAUAUUCUUAUGAGCAACCUAAGCAGAAAUUUGUUUCGCCUAUUAAA